rnacentral:rRNA from 1 species
AGUUCAGACUGCAGGCUGCAACUCGCCUGCACGAAGUCGGAAUUGCUAGUAAUCGUAGGUCAGCAUACUACGGUGAAUACGUUCCCGGGCCUUGUACACACCGCCCGUCAAACCAUGAGAGUUGGCAACACCCGAAGUCGGUAGUCUAACCGCAAGGAGAGCGCGGCCGAAGGUAAAACUGGUGAUUGGGGUGAAGUCGUAACAAGGUAGC